rnacentral:rRNA from 1 species
AUGAACGCUGGCGGCGUGCCUAAUACAUGCAAGUCGAGCGAACAGACGAGGAGCUUGCUCCUCUGACGUUAGCGGCGGACGGGUGAGUAACACGUGGAUAACCUACCUAUAAGACUGGGAUAACUUCGGGAAACCGGAGCUAAUACCGGAUAAUAUAUUGAACCGCAUGGUUCAAUAGUGAAAGACGGUUUUGCUGUCACUUAUAGAUGGAUCCGCGCCGCAUUAGCUAGUUGGUAAGGUAACGGCUUACCAAGGCAACGAUGCGUAGCCGACCUGAGAGGGUUAUCGGCCACACUGGAACUGAGACACGGUCCAGACUCCUACGGGAGGCAGCAGUAGGGAAUCUUCCGCAAUGGGCGAAAGCCUGACGGAGCAACGCCGCGUGAGUGAUGAAGGUCUUCGGAUCGUAAAACUCUGUUAUUAGGGAAGAACAAAUGUGUAAGUAACUAUGCACGUCUUGACGGUACCUAAUCAGAAAGCCACGGCUAACUACGUG